GUACAGAUCCCCUAUCAGGCCAUUAUAGUAGUUAACUAAUAAACACAGUGACAGUACAGAUCCCCUAUCAGGCCAUUAUAGUAGUUAACUAAUAACCACAGUAACAUUAUAGAUCCCCAUAUCAGGCCAUUAUAGUAGUUAACUAAUAAACACAGUGACAGUACAGAUCCCCUAUCAGGCCAUUAUAGUAGUUAACUAAUAACCACAGUGACAUUAUAGAUCCCUAUAUCAGGCCAUUAUAGUAGUUAACUAAUAAACACAGUGACAUUAUAGAUCCCCAUAUCAGGCCAUUAUAGUAGUUAACUAAUAAGCACAGUGACAUUAUAGAUCCCCAUAUCAGGCCAUUAUAGUAGUUAACUAAUAAGCACAGUGACAUUAUAGAUCCCCAUAUCAGGUCAUAACUAAUAACCACAGUAACAUUAUAGAUCCCCAUAUCAGGCCAUUAUAGUAGUUAACUAAUAACCACAGUGACAUUAUAGAUCCCCAUAUCAGGCCAUUAUAGUAGUUAACUAAUAAGCACAGUGACAUUAUAGAUCCCCAUAUCAGGUCAUUAUAGUAGUUAACUAAUAACCACAGUAACAUUAUAGAUCCCCAUAUCAGGCCAUUAUAGUAGUUAACUAAUAAACACAGUGACAUUAUAGAUCCCCUAUCAGGCCAUUAUAGUAGUUAACUAAUAAACACAGUGACAUUAUAGAUCCCCAUAUCAGGCCAUUAUAGUAGUUAACUAAUAAACACAGUGACAUUAUAGAUCCCCAUAUCAGGCCAUUAUAGUAGUUAACUAAUAAACACAGUGACAUUAUAGAUCCCCAUAUCAGGCCAUUAUAGUAGUUGAGGCAGAGAGCGUUUAAAUGCAGAGGUGGUUGGAGGCAGGUUUUGAUGAAGUCGUCCUAACCCACUGGGAACACACUGGUUGAAUCAACGUUGAUUACGUCUAUGCCCAGUGGGAAUGACCUUUUAUACAGUACAAUGUUUUCUCAUGUCUCAGUCAGGUGUUUUUGGUGUAUUAUUUAAGAUGAGGACAAAAAUUACAGUAUUGCUUUAAAAGGACAAUUCCUGUGACCAGCUAGUUUGCAUUACUUACGAUAGAAAGAGCAUUUCCAGUUGCAUUUUAAUCUAGCCAAGCAAUUUACUAAUUAACAUAUCAAGUUCUGCAUUUUGUCGGCUUGCAUCCCAAAUGGCACUCUAUUCCCUAUAUAGUGCACUACUUCUGACUAGAGCCCACAGCACAAUAUAGGGAAUAGGACUCUGGUCUAACGUAGUGCACUAUAUAGGGAAUAGGACUCUGGUCUAACGUAGUGCACUAUAUAGGGAAUAGGACUCUGGUCUAAAGUAGUGCACUAUAUAGGGAAU
ensembl:lncRNA